CUUCUACUCCCUCCGUUCCAUAAUUCUUGUCUCAAAUUUGUCCAAAAAUGGAUGUAUCUAUUCCUAAAAAGCGUCUAGAUACAUGUAACAUUUCGACAAGAAUUAUGGAACGGAGGGAGUACCAU
rnacentral:pre_miRNA from 1 species